rnacentral:rRNA from 1 species
AAGGUUGGGCCUGCCCGGUGAUCUGAAAUGGUUUAACGGCUGCGAUUGAAACCGUACUAAGGUAGCAUAAUAAUUUGCCCUUUAAUUGGGGGAGAGAAUGAAUGGUUUGACGGUAAAAAAGCUGUUUUAAAAAUAAAAAAAGAAGUUAACUUUUAAGUGAAAAGGCUUAAGUUUUUAUAAAAGACGAGAAGACCCCGUCGAGCUUAAUUAGAAUAACUUAAAUGUAGGUUAUUUAAAAUUUUAUUGGGGCAAUAGAAAAUGAAAUGAAUCAUUUUUUUUAUUAUAAGGAUCCAGUUUUGACUGAAAAAAGCAAAAGCUACCGCGGGGAUAACAGGGUAAUUUUUUCUGAGAGUUCAUAUUUAAGAAGAAGUUUGCUACCUCGAUGUUGGAUUAGAAUUUCUUUAUGCUUGCAGCAGGUAUAAUAGUAGGACUGUUCGUCCUU